UACAGAGGGGGCGAGCGUUGUUCGGAAUUACUGAGCGUAAAGGGCGCGUAGGCGGCCUGCUAAGUCGGACGUGAAAUCCCUCGGCUCAACCGGGGAACUGCGUCCGAUACUGGCGGGCUUGAAUCCGGGAGAGGAAUGCGGAAUUCCAGGUGUAGCGGUGAAAUGCGCAGAUAUCAGGAGGAACACCGAUUGCGAAGGCAGCUCGCUGGGACGUUACUGACGCUGAGGCGCGAAAGCGUGGGGAGCAAACAGG
rnacentral:rRNA from 1 species